ACCAUUAAUUUUGUUUUUAAUAAAAGUUUGAUUCUUGCUUUUGAAUUUGGAUUUUGAACUAUUUUAUAUGUAAGGUUUUCCUUUUAUCUAAAUGAUUUUUUUUCAGUGUUUAAUUUUAGUUUUUAUUAAAAGAUAAAACUAGGGUUUUAAUAUAUAAUUGACAAAGGCUGUGCCAGCCGUCGCGGUUAUACAGUCAAUUAGAUUGAAUUUUUUUGAGUAAAUAUUAAUUUUUUGUUUUAUAAUUUUAUUUUUUAUUUUUAGGUGAAAUUUUUAAUAUUUUAAAUUAUUAUAGGUGAAUGAUUUAUAUAUGAAAAUUAUUAAUAAACUAGGAUUAGAUACCCUAUUAUAAUAAUUGUAAAUUUUCUUAGUAUUAAUAGUUAUGUUCUUUAAAUUAAAAGAAUUUGGCGGUAAUUUAAUCUUUCUAGAGGAACCUGUCCUGUAAUUGAUAAUCCACGAUUGAUUUUACUUUAAUUUAGUUUAUAUAUCGCUGUCAUUGAAUGUUUUAGGAGAUUAUUUUCUUUAAACUUUAUUAGUUUAAUGUUAGGUCAAGAUGUAGCAAUAUUAAAGUAGAGAUGGGUUACAUUAAUUUUAUUUUUGGAUUAAUAUUUGUAAUUAUU
rnacentral:rRNA from 1 species